rfam:Heterocephalus glaber contig45966, whole genome shotgun sequence.
GGAUGUGCCUGCGAUCUGGCUGCGACUUCUGUCACCCCACUGAGCCCAGGGUUGAUUCGGCUGCUCAGGCGGCUAGGUAGGGGUCCCCUUUCUCCCUCACCAUUCCAUGUGCAUCCCUCCCCACCCUCCUGAAGCUGCGCUUGGUGGAAGAGGAGGACCACCGCCAUAGAGGAGCACCGUUUCCUGGGUCCCGGGUACAGCAGUAGUUACACUCCCCUGUGCUCGAACCUCCAAGCUCUCAGGGUCCACACCUAACAAACACAGUGUGACCCAGAAGCAGAAGGCCUCUGUCCUACUUUUGUUGUCACUACAACCUGAUACAUGAG